rnacentral:rRNA from 1 species
AUUGAACGCUGGCGGCAGGCUUAACACAUGCAAGUCGAACGAGUGGCGGACGGGUGAGCAAUGUAUCGGGAUGUGCCCGGUAGAGGGGGAUAACUACUGGAAAUGGUGGCUAAUUCCGCAUACCAUUAGAUCGGCCCUUAUAGUAUUAGCUAGUGGGUGGGGUAAAGGCUCACCAAGGCCACGAUACGUAGCAGGUCUGAGAGGAUGACAAGCCACAAUGGUACUGAGACACGGACCAGACUCCUACGAGAGGCAGCAGUGGGGAAUAUUGGACAAUGGGCGCAAACCUGAUCCAGCCAUGCCGCGUGUAUGAUGAAGGCCUUAGGGUUGUAAAGUACUUUUGGCAGAGAAGCGUUAUCUGCAGAAGAAGCACCGGCUAACUCCGUGCCAGCAGCCGCGGUAAUAC